GGCCCGGGAGGCCGCGAGCGUGUGUGUGUGGCACGAUGUCGUGGUAACUCAGAGGCGCGCAAGGCGGGGCGCCCAACGGGGUCGUGGGUCGAGCACGCGCGCCACUGGGGCGCCGGACGUUGCAAGGGGGUCACAUCCGGUAGGGGGCGGGCCUGGCGGACCCCGGAAGUGUGGGCGCGGCUGCGGUUUAACCCGCGGUGGCGGCGGCGACGGCGGCCCUGGCAGGGAAGGAUGGAGACGCUGAAGGAUAAGACCCUGCAGGAGCUGGAGGAGUUGCAGAAUGACUCGGAGGCGAUUGACCAGCUGGCCCUGGAGUCCCCUGAGGUAGAGGGAGGCUGGUAUGGGACCCAACAAGGCCAGCAGAAGAGGCUUGUUAAGAGGUGCUUUUUAAGGAUGCUGGCUUAUUGGAAGUUUUGGCCAAAUUCAUCUCCCUUUUCUGUGAACUUCAUCCUGGUUUGGACUCAGAGGAAUCCCUGAAGCUUCAGACCAGUUCCUGGGAGUUCUUGGUAGUGCUGGGGAGUCCACUGCCUCCUGGUGCCUUUCCAGGACCCAGAUGCCCCGGGAGUCCCCACACUGUUGUUCCAGCCCAAAUCUGGAGGCAGCUACUCAAAGCACUGGUAUGGUUUUGUACCCAAUUUUCCCCAAGAGCCUUGUGCGAUCCCGUAUCUCCAGGUGACUCUAAGGCUUCUAGGAGCCAUUCUUGGGCGGAGAUCUAGCUCGUCUCCCAUUUGAUCCUGUUUCUCCUCAUAACUGGCCCCUAAUCCUCUCGCUCUUAAUCACAGAGUCCUUGUGGAAAAAAACAGAAUCCUGCCUCUGCAGAGAUUUACACUUAAUAAAGGACGUUCCCUGCCGCUAGCAUCUCCU
rnacentral:sRNA from 1 species